GCUUAGUGUGCUCAGUGGGAGAGCACUUACCUAGCAUGCAUGAGGUCCUGGGUUCAAUCCUCAGCAUCA
rnacentral:tRNA from 1 species